rnacentral:rRNA from 1 species
AUUGAACGCUGGCGGCAGGCUUAACACAUGCAAGUCGAGCGAGCGGCGGACGGGUGAGUAAUGUAUGGGAAACUGCCCGAUAGAGGGGGAUAACUACUGGAAACGGUGGCUAAUACCGCAUACUAUCAGAUGUGCCCAGAUGGGAUUAGCUAGUAGGUGGGGUAAUGGCUCACCUAGGCGACGAUCCCUAGCUGGUCUCAGAGGAUGAUCAGCCACACUGGAACGCAGACACGUUCCCGACUCCUACGGGAUGCAGCAGUGGGGAAUAUUGCACAAUGGGCGCAAGCCUGAUGCAGCCAUGCCGCGUGUGUGAAGAAGGCCUUAGGGUUGUAAAGCACUUUCAGCGGGGAGGCGUUACCCGCAGAAGAAGCACCGGCUAACUCCGUGCCAGCAGCCGCGGUAAUAC